AUUGAACGCUGGCGGCAGGCCUAACACAUGCAAGUCGAGCGAGCGGCGGACGGGUGAGUAAUGUCUGGGAAACUGCCUGAUGGAGCGGGAUAACUACUGGAAACGGUAGCUCAUACCGCAUACCAUCAGAUGUGCCCAGAUGGGAUUAGCUAGUAGGUGGGGUAAUGGCUCACCGAGGCGACGAACCCUAGCUGGUCUGAGAGGAUGACCAUCCACACUGGAACUGAGUCACGUUCGAGACUCCUGCGUGAGGGAGCAGUGGGGAAUAGUGAACGAUGGGCGCAGGCCUGAUGCAGCCAUGCCGCGUGUGUGAAGAAGGCCUUCGGGUUGUAAAGCACUUUCAGCGGGGAGGCGUUACCCGCAGAAGAAGCACCGGCUAACUCCGUGCCAGCAGCCGCGGGAAUAC
rnacentral:rRNA from 1 species